rnacentral:rRNA from 1 species
UAAGGGAUAUUGCGACAAUGGGCGAAAGCCUGACGCAGCAACGCCGCGUGUGGGAUGACGGCCUUCGGGUUGUAAACCACUUUUCUGGGGGAAGAGGAAGGACGGUACCCCAGGAAUAAGUCUCGGCUAACUACGUGCCAGCAGCCGCGGUAAAACGUAGGAGGCGAACGUUAUCCGGAUUUACUGGGUGUAAAGCGCGUGCAGGCGGUGAUGUAAGUCGUGUGUGAAAGCGCCCAGGCUCAACCGGGCGAGGACGGACGAAACUGCAUCACUAGAGGCAGGUAGAGGCGUGCGGAAUUCCGGGUGUAGUGGUGAAAUGCGUAGAUAUCCGGAGGAACACCAGUGGCGAAGGCGGCACGCUGGGCCUGACCUGACGCUAAGACGCGAAAGCAUGGGUAGCGAACGGGAUUAGAAACCCCGGUAGUCCAUGCCGUAAACGAUGCGUACUAGGUGUUGCGGUGUCAAACUGCAGUGCCGAAGCAAACGUGAUAAGUACGCCACCUGGGGACUA